rnacentral:rRNA from 1 species
UGAGGAAUUUUGCGCAAUAGGGGAAACCCUGACGCAGCAACGCCGCGUGAGUGAAGAAGGCCCUCGGGUCGUAAAGCUCUGUCAAGUGGGAAAAAAGCUUACUGGUAAAUAGCCAGCAAGACUGAUGGUACCAUUGAAGGAAGCACCGGCUAACUCCGUGCCAGCAGCCGCGGUAAUACGGAGGGUGCAAGCGUUGUUCGGAAUUACUGGGCGUAAAGGGCGUGUAGGCGGUGUGGUAAGUCAGAUGUGAAAUCCCCGGGCUUAACUCGGGAAGUGCAUCUGAAACUGCUUUGCUUGAGUUCUGGAGGGGGUAGUGGAAUUCCCAGUGUAGCGGUGAAAUGCGUAGAUAUUGGGAGGAACACCUGCGGCGAAGGCGGCUACCUGGACAGUGACUGACGCUGAGGCGCGAAAGCUAGGGGAGCAAACGGGAUUAGAUACCCUGGUAGUCCACGCCCUAAACGAUGGCAACUGGGUGUUGGGGGAGCGAUUCCUCAGUACCGUAGCUAACGCGUGAAGUUGCCCGCCUGGGGAGUACGGCCGCAAGGUUA